CAGUCGCCGCGGGAAUACGUAGGGUGCGAGCGUUAAUCGGAAUUACUGGGCGUAAAGCGUGCGCAGGCGGUUUUGUAAGACAGAGGUGAAAUCCCCGGGCUCAACCUGGGAACUGCCUUUGUGACUGCAAGGCUAGAGUACGGCAGAGGGGGAUGGAAUUCCGCGUGUAGCAGUGAAAUGCGUAGAUAUGCGGAGGAACACCGAUGGCGAAGGCAAUCCCCUGGGCCUGUACUGACGCUCAUGCACGAAAGCGUGGGGAGCAAACAGGAUUAGAUACCCCUGUAGUCCCUGUCUCUUAUAC
rnacentral:rRNA from 1 species